rnacentral:lncRNA from 1 species
UGGCACGGUAGUAUUUGCAUUCCAGAAUUUAGGUUGCUCGUUUGUGUAUACGUACUUAGGUCAAUGUAUCUAAACAGUGUGAUUGGACAAAAAAUACAGUAUCAAUUGAACAUACUUUCCCAAACUGAGGGAUGAAUCAGGUGUAGAAAAAUAUGAAAUAAUUUUACAUACAGAUGAAAAUGAAUUUUUGAGAAUUUUUUUUAAAUUUUGUAUUCACUGCACCAUAAAUGACCUAAAAGUACUAGUGUCCUUAGGUUUUUAAAAAUAGCAAAAAAAGUAAACGGUCAUGAUAAAUAUUAAAAUUCAUUUCUGAAUAGUAAAAUGAAAGUAUUUCAGUUAACUGUGAAUGUAGAAUUUUUUGCAGUGUUAGAAAGUGGUGAAAAUUCCAAAAAGGCUAUCAUUAUCCCUUAUGGGCCAGGAAAUACUACCGUGCCACCAGUAUUACGCUACACUCAAACUCUAUGAACAAAGUGUAGCAGUCAGCUGAUAACCAGCUUAACGGACGGCCACACAAAAAAAAAACAAAUACUGAAACGGUUCACUUUCGAUAAAAAGUCGAGAAAAUGACAGAUAUAUCACGUAUCAUGAUAACACUGUUA